rnacentral:rRNA from 1 species
CCUACGGGCGGCAGCAGUGAGGAAUAUUGGUCAAUGGACGAGAGUCUGAACCAGCCAAGUAGCGUGAAGGAUGACUGCCCUAUGGGUUGUAACCUCCUUUAUAUGGGAAUUAAAUGUUCCACGUGUGGGAUUUUGUAUGUACCAAAUGAAUUAGGAUCGGCCAAAGUCGUGCCAGCAGCCGCGGUAAUACGGAGGAAUCGAGCGGUAUCCGGAUUUAUUGGGGUUAAAGGGAGUGUAGGGGGGUUUGUAAGGUAGGUUGGGAAGGUUGGGGGCAAAACCGUAAAUUGCAGUUGAAACUGGCAGUCUUGAGUACAGUAGAGGUGGGCGGAAUUCGUGGUGUAGCGGUGAAAUGCUUAGAUAUCACGAAGAACUCCGAUUGCGAAGGCAGCUCACUGGACUGCAACUGACACUGAGGCUCGAAAGUGUGGGUAUCAAACAGGAUUAGAUACCCCUGUAGUC